rnacentral:rRNA from 1 species
UGAGGAAUAUUGGUCAAUGGACGCAAGUCUGAACCAGCCAAGUAGCGUGCAGGAUGACGGCCCUAUGGGUUGUAAACUGCUUUUAUGCGGGGAUAAAGUCACCCACGUGUGGGUGUUUGCAGGUAUCGCAUGAAUAAGGACCGGCUAAUUCCGUGCCAGCAGCCGCGGUAAUACGGAAGGUCCGGGCGUUAUCCGGAUUUAUUGGGUUUAAAGGGAGUGUAGGCGGCCUGUUAAGCGUGUUGUGAAAUGUAGAUGCUCAACAUCUGAACUGCAGCGCGAACUGGCUGGCUUGAGUACACGCAACGUGGGCGGAAUUCAUGGUGUAGCGGUGAAAUGCUUAGAUAUCAUGAGGAACUCCUAUUGCGAAGGCAGCUCACGGGAGUGUCACUGACGCUUAAGCUCGAAGGUGCGGGUAUCAAACAGG